GAUGAACGCUCGCUACAGGCUUAACACAUGCAAGUCGAGGGGAAACGACAUCGAAAGCUUGCUUUUGAUGGGCGUCGACCGGCGCACGGGUGAGUAACGCGUAUCCAACCUGCCCAUCACUUGGGAAUAACCUUGCGAAAGUAAGACUAAUACCCAAUGAUAUCCCACGAAGGCAUCGGAAUGGGAUUAAAGAUUUAUCGGUGAUGGAUGGGGAUGCGUCUGAUUAGCUUGUUGGCGGGGUAACGGCCCACCAAGGCAACGAUCAGUAGGGGUUCUGAGAGGAAGGUCCCCCACAUUGGAACUGAGACACGGUCCAAACUCCUACGGGAGGCAGCAGUGAGGAAUAUUGGUCAAUGGGCGAGAGCCUGAACCAGCCAAGUAGCGUGCAGGAAGACGGCCCUAUGGGUUGUAAACUGCUUUUAGAAGGGAAUAAAGUGGGUCACGUGUGACUUUUUGCAUGUACCUUAUGAAUAAGAACCGGCUAAUUCCGUG
rnacentral:rRNA from 1 species